rnacentral:rRNA from 1 species
GCAUAAUCAUUUGCCUUUUAAUUGAAGGCUAGUAUGAAAGGACACACAAGAAUAAUACUGUCUCAUUACGGUUUAAUUAAAACUGAUUUUUAGGUGAAGACGCCUAAAUCCCAAUAAAGGACAAGAAGACCCUAUAGAGCUUCAUUGAUGUUUAGAAUAAACUAAUUUAUCAAUUUGGUUGGGACAACCGAAAGACAAACACACCUCUUAUAUACCCCAAUAAAACUCACACCCACUAAUGAAAUAGAAUUUCAAGCUACCUUAGGGAUAACAGGCUAAUCCUGCUAGAGAGCCCACAUUGACAGCAGGGAUUGG